AUCAGCCUUUUGAGCGUGAUUAUGUGGAGCGUGAGGAGUUAAACGCCUUCAUGCCUUCAUAUUCGUGCACUUUGGGUGUACUUGCUCGUGUGGUAGGUUAACAUCAAUUUCGAUCAUCAUAAAAUGGUUGGAGGAAUGUAGCUUCGAUCUCGUAUUGAAGUGUUAUAGCCUUUAGCAGAUGUGAUGAUUGGGAUUGAGGAUUGCAACGGAUACCCUUCGGGGCUACCCGUCUGAUCUCUGAAAGUUACUCUGGUGCCGAAAGCUUGCUUACGGUAUCAAAGUUGACGUUCAACAGGUUAGAACGGGUUAAAUUCGUUAAGGAUGUUGACGUAAUGGCUUU
rnacentral:rRNA from 1 species